rnacentral:lncRNA from 1 species
CUUGCACCAUUACGAAGUCUGAGAGCAUUGGUGUAUGACCAAAGAAGAGAACGUGCAGCUCCUUGCUUCAUUUGGCUUCGUGGAUAGAUGUGCACCAUUAACUCCUUAUAUGGCCUGCGAUAGGAACAUUCGCGUGGAAACCAUCUGCAUAUGGGUAUCCUACCUGGAACCAGCAAUGAUGUCUAUGGAUUUUUCAGUGUUCAGGAGAGUUCCAGCAGGAAGUCGUGAGAAGAAAAAUCCCAUGAGGAGAAGCACACUAUGAGGAAGCACACCCCCAUGAGGAGGAGUGCCCAUUUGAAGGAGCACUCCAUGGGGAGGAGCCGCCCUUGGAAAAGCCAACUUUCUGGGAAACCAGGCUCUACAGUGCAUUCAUUCUCCCUAUGUUGUGCUCUCUUCUGGAAAGUAGGAUAUCAGACAUCAUAGUGGGAUGGAGAAACACUGCCUUACUCUCUCUAAAAGUUCAGUGUUGGGACUGGAGAGAUGUCUCACUGCGGAAGGUGCUUUUGUCAAGGUUGAUGACAGGAAUUCACAUCCCCAGAAAGCCACAUAGAUGCUGGGUGGCCAAGGUGCACGCUGGCCCAGUUGUGACCCCAGACCAAGAAGAUGGAGGCUGAACGUUCCCAGAUCAGGAUGGAUAAUGAGACAAUAUCAACAAGCUAUGGGUUUACCUGAGAGACACUGCCUCAGAGAACAAGGUGGAAGAUUGCUGAGCCUAACCUGUGCACACUUGUUAACAUACAUACAAAUGUACCUACAUGUGUGCAAAAAAGAUGUACAUGUAGAAAACUGAAAUAGAAAAAUAAAAAUAAAUAAAUAUCAUUCCUGGGUGAAUGAAUGGAUGAAAUGGUGCACUAGGAAGUAGUUCAAGCCCCUACCACCUGUUCCACAUGGUAGAAAGCAAGAAUUCAUUUAUACAAAUUGUCCUCUGACCUCCACAUAUGUGUAUACAUGGUCACAUAUACACACUAAAUAAAGUAACAUGUAAUUUGACAAUAAAAGAUAAUCCAUUCAUAUGAUAGCAACGUUAAUCUACCAAGGAGUAUAGAAACUUUGUGCUAUAGUGUCCUCUCUCAACAAAGAUAUUUGGACAUUAAAUUUCCUAUGUGCAACUCCAGGCAUAUAUCAGUGAUAGCCAUAAACUUCAGCAUCACAAGAUACUAUUGAUUAAGCUCACAUAUACAUAAAUAUAUCCACAAAGUAUCAUUCAGGUACUAUAUACUAUAAGCAGGUGGACUGUUAUUGUGC